UAUAGCUUUGUGCCAAUGAAUUCAGCCAAGGUCAUGGAUGUGAUGGCCAGUUAACUCAUCUUCCUUCAUCCACCUUCCCUUUUUGUUUUUCUUGUUCUGUCUGUCUGUCUGUCUGUCUGUCUCUCUCCCCUUCUUUCUUCCUCCCUUCCCCCUCCCUCUUGCUUUCUCAUUUUCUCUUUCAUUCUUCAUCUCUUCCUCCCUCCCUCUCUCUUUUUCUUUCUCUUUCUUUUCUUCCUUAGUAGAAUUUAUUCUCAGGUAUCUCAGCCCUUCCCUCUUCCCCUCACAUCAUAGAAGGUAUCACCUGACAGAACUAUGUUUAUAUAAAUUAUGUCUUUUGUAUUUCUCUCUUUCAGUUCAUUCACUAGAGGUGGACAUUCACAAAUUAUUCUUCAAACAUUAACUCUGUAAUUUUACAUAGUCUCUGAUUUUUACUUGUUUCAGUUUUCAUUAUUUCAUGUAGGUCUAAGUUUUAGAAAAAAUAACCUGCUCAUUGUUUCUUAUGUCACAGUAGCAUUCCAGGCUCAAGUUUCUUAAUAGCUAGGAUUGAUAUAUCUUUUAAGUUUUUCAAAGUAUUUUACAUGCAUUAUUUCAUUUGAUCUUCACAAUAGUCCUGGAGCUAGGUGUUAUUCAUUAGUGCUCCCAUUUUACAGAUGAGGAAACUGAGACUGAAGGAGGGUAAGUGACUUGCCUUCCUUCUGUCUCACCAAAUGCCCAGUAUAGACAUUCAUUGCAUUUACCCAUUGUUUGAUUAAUAUUUGUUGAAUUAAUAAAUGUGUAUUAGUCAGGAGGACCAACCAGGAAAUGGGUAUAGCUCAAUAUAUACCCAAAUAAGAAAACAAUUCAAAGCUUAUGUCUAUUGAAGGUGGUUUAGUAGGUUUUUUAAAUACAAAGCACACGCCUUUAUCCAUGAUGUUGGAAGCUUUUUAAGUAAGCUUGAAAGGUUAGUAAUAUCUUGUCUUGCUUUUGGAUUCUAGUGGAUUAGUUUAGACUAAAUAUCCAUAUAGAAUACUUCCCUGAACCUGUUGCUUUCCCUUUUUUGAUCUUAUCCUUUGAAACCUGCCCAGUACUCUUGAUCCUUGUAAGGUUCAUUAAAGUGAAGGAAAUCCAAACUAAUCUGCUUAAGAAAAAAGCAAGGGGGGAACUAGGGUUGCUGAUACAGUUGGUUGGCAAGCCUGGCACAUAAUUAAAUUCAGCACCUUUAAUCUGUAUGAGACAAUAACUAGUCUAUAAAUGCAUAGAAUUAGGCUUUGUCAUGGUGUGGUUGUGCAAAAGAGAAAGAUAGAUACUAUUUGUUCUUAUGUUCUAGCUGUUCACAGUAGCCCUAUGGGUUUUGUGGCAAGUGAUAAAAUUGUGUCUUAAUUAUGCACUUACUUCAAAGGCAUGCUGUAUCAAUUCAAUCUGCACUGUAGCUUUUCCUGAUAAUAUUAUGAUGGGAAGGGGGAGUGCGGUUUUUGAAAUAAAGCAUCAGAAAGAGUUUGGUUGUGGGUGAAAAUGUUUUUCUGUAGCUUCUCUUGCCAACUUGAGGUCAGUUUUAUCAGAUUUUCUGUUGCUUGGAAGAUCUUCAGUAACUGAAUUAGAAAUGCAUGCGUGAUGUUUAUCCUAUUGGAAUUUUAAUUAACCUUAAAAGAAAAGGCUAAUGUGAAGGUGUUGGUAGCAUAGUAGGCUUUAAAAAUAUAUACAGUCACAUGCCAUGUUUAUGGAGCUUCCUUAACUGAUGAGUUGAGUCAGAGUUGGAAUGAAAGUGCUGGCACAGUUUGACUUUUCUACAGAAGUGGUUGCUUUAUCCUUUGGAGCAGAACUCUUACACUCCAAUGUCUUAUGCAUAUUUAAUGCUAGAACAGCCCCUUUAAGUAAACUAGAACUGGUCCAAAAGAGAAUUGUUUCAGUUAGUUCUUUCCAAUGUAUUUAUACUUAGCAGCUGAUGUGGUGGUCAUCUGUUUGAACAGGAUAUUUUGGUUUUGCCUAAUGGAUGUGUGUGAGCUCAUAUCUGCACUUAAGUGAAGUAGAGCUAGCUGUAAGAAAGUGGGCAAAAGGGAGAGGCCAGAGAAUAGAAAAACUUGAAAUGAGAGGAAACUUAAAUGACUUUUUCAACCAAAAGAGCAUCACAAAUAGGAACUGAACAAGAUGUACACAUUAGAAUUUGAGUUCAAGAUGCAUUUUCAAAGUAACUCAAACUUCUUUGGCUCCCUUUAUGAACUGCGGUAAGAAGGGCAUUGAAUCCUUGGAAUAUCACUUAAGAAAAAUUUUACUAGAAAGGUAUUUAUUCUUUGAAAUUUCCUGGUUGAAUAUAUUAUAUGGAUAUCUCCAUAUAUUUAUUUUUUAAGAAUGACUAUAUUUGUCUUUUAAGAAUGUUGUGUUUCUGGUGGAAACUCAAGCUUUUAGGAAAAAAAUUAGAAUUGGACUGGUAAAGCACUGUAUAUGAGCAAGCAGCAAUCAUCUCUUUUUUUAGCUUUUUUAUUUUGUUAUUUCCUCAGUAUCCAAAAGGCAUUCGCAGUUUUUUUUAACUUAAAUCAUUUUUAUAUCACAUAUAGCUUGAUAGAGGUUGUUUUGGAAACGAAGUGUAAACUGUCUCUUUUGAUAUUUGAGUGCUUUCAAAAAACCUGAUGUUGGCUCUACUGCUUAUUGCUUAUGAGGCAUGGAGGAAUGACAUCAGACUCCCAUGUGGGUAUUUACAGCUUCUUUUAUAAAUCAUAUUAUUCUGCUUUCACUUAAGGGUGACCUCCAGGGCACAGUCCUCAAAUACUAUUUUGCCAGGAAACACAAGAAUUUUAAUCAGAACACACAGAAACAACCAAGUUGAAAUAUAUUGAGAAUCUCUUCAACAAUCUAAAAUCUGAGUAGUGUCAACAAUAGUUCUUAGGAUUUACUAUUUAGUAUCUGGGUCCCAGGGAAGAACCUUUAUUGUUUCUCUGAGUAAGGGAUAAUGCAUGUUGAUGUAGAUGUAGAGGAAAUGUUAUGAUCACAGGCUGAAUUAGCUAUUGACAAAUAUUGCUUUUUCUUACUGAGACUAAUGAUCAUUUUUGUGUAGCCACUUUUUUCAAAUAUUCUUUUUUUUUUGAACAGUCAAAUCAUCACUGAACCAGAUUAUUGGAGAAUUGAUGUUUUUAUACUCUUGUCAUCUUGCUGGGACUUAGGGGCUCUUCAAUUUCUAUUCAUUGCUCGUGGUGUCUUGAAUUUAUGUAGCAUAUGUCCUACAUAUAAAGUUCAUUCAUAUAUAUUAUAGAAUGUUUAAGUAGGAAAGGGCAGGAUGUUGCAUUCACAUUUUGUACAUGGAGACAGUGAAUAUCUAAGAGUUCAAAUCACUUGCUUAAAGCCACCAGGGACUAGAACCCUUCUUAGUUUAGCCUUUUAUUCUGGAUGAUAUUGCAUGCAAAUGAAGCUUUUAACUUCUGAAUGUUGAUUCAGAGUUAAAACUACUACAUAUAAGUCUUUACUUUGAGAUUCUCAGAAGGCUAUCAAAUGAUGCUUUGGAGUAACUGACUAUAUAAGAGUAAUAAAACCUGUGGAAAGGAGAUCUUUGACUCACAUAAAAGUCUCAUGUGUACCUCAGCUUCCACUGGCUAUGCUCACAGAACACUUCAGCACAAUGGACAGUAGCAAUAUUUUGUAGAAUGAAAGAUGAACCAAGGAGUAAUAGACAUGUGUCAUGAUAUUUUUUGUAACUAACUUCUUUGAGUAGUUUUAAUCUGUCCAUGUUUAUAGACAGUUUUACAUUCAACUUGAACUUUGACUUGUUGACAUGUCAACAACUUACCCAGACACUUGAUUCUGAUCAAACUGUCGUGCAUACAGUGGAAAGAACACUGAAGCUGUGUGGAAAGGAAAACUGAAUCAAGCUUUGGGCCUUUCUGUCACUCAGGUGGAACAGACAGCAAUUGGAAUGUUAGAGUGGAGAUUGAUGAACAGCAAUGACAGUUGGUGGGUGGAUGGGCAACAGAGAGUGACAGUUGCUCUCUAGUGGUGACUCUCUUUCCUCAUCCUGGGACUGGAAGGACUGUUCUCUCCCUGUCUCUGGAUAAAAGUACCUGGAUUCCUGGAUAUUUCCCAACUGUGUACUCUACUUGGAUUCCUGUGAUUGUGUCAUUGAACAAAAGGAUUUAAGGGGAGUGGUUUGAACUAUAAGACCAGUCUUUAGCCCAAAGAGACAGGCCCAACUAGCUAUGAAGGUCAGCAUCUUUUCUUUCUCUUGCUGUCUACUGCUAAAGACUUUGAAUUUAAUAAAGCUAGCACAGAUUAGCAUAGACAAGAAUAAAAGAAACCCUACACCAGCCUGUGAGGCCUGGCCUCAGCUCAAAAAGCUGAGAAAGACUCAAACCCAAUCUGUGACUAAGUAUAGGGAAAUCCCCUUUUCCUCUACCCUGAUAGCCUCCCAGUUUGAACUUGUUAUUAAAUUCAUCUUGAGUCAAAUAACCCACUGUCAAAUAAGAGGAGGACUGCCGUUUCAGGGGAACAUAGAGGGAGCAGAACCUAAGGAGAGCCAUUCAACAUUAAACAGUCCUUACCCUGCUGGGUGACCUUGGUGGCGGGGGAGGCUUGUCCCUCAGGGAGCCCCCGUGCUUAACUGAUCUGGGGUACCUUCAACAUCAAUCAAUAGAGAAGACCUCCCCUCAGGCUGUCAUAGUUGGCCCAUUUCUCGGGAACCCCAUUUUUCAGAGAUAGUCUCUCAGCAGGGGGUAUCCCUCUCCUUUUACCUCACCAGCAUCUAUAUUCCCUCUAUCCCUUCAACUCCUCCAUUCCCUGUUACAAACCCUUCCUUAUCCCCUGUACCAUAUCAAUCCUCUAUACUUCCUUUAACUAUUACAGCUGGAACCAGAGGACAUGAGGUUCAAUUCUGGUUUCACUACUUUUUGUAUGACCUCAGGAAAUAUGAAAGCAAAUGAGGAAGCUAACAUUUUGGUUCAGCUCCUUUCUUUUAUGAUUCUUGGUCUUUUACGUAUAUUAGUAAUACCAACCAUAAAUGAUUAGUUUAGACACAGAGUUUAAUUUACCUUACAAUUUCAACAUUCAAAAUUCCAAUAAUACUUAAUAUAUCACUUAAGUAUGUAUAUAUUAUCUACUCUGGACCUUACUAGAAGGGUGACCUUUUACAAGUCACUUAAUCCCUUUAAGCCUUAGUUUCCUUACUCAUAAAAAGUGGAUAGUGAUUGUAGUACUUGCCUUACAGGGUAGUUUUGAUGAUCCAGUGAGGUAAUGCAAAGUGAUUUGCAAGCCUAUAAUCCCUAUAUAAAUACCUUUUGGGAACCUGUAGUAUAGUUUUUUUUUGUAGCUUAUUUUAUUUUGCUAUUCUUAAUGUAGCCAAGAAGAUCCAUCGGAGAAUUGCAUAAGCAUUUUUUGGUGUUCCCUUAGAGAGUAGUUAAUUCUUUCAAAAUUCCACGAUGUCAUUAAAAGAAAAUAAAAUAUAUUCUUAGAUUCAAUCAAAUUUGAGGUUUUAUAAUUGAUGCUAUAAGAUAGAGAUGCCAACUAUAAAUUUACAAGAACUUAAGUUUGUUUGGAUUCUUUGUUUUUAGUAGUCUUUGGUAGACAUAAGCCCAGAUUUCUGAAAACAUUUAGUAAGGAAACCUAAUAAAUUACAUUAGAAAUUUAAUAUACUACUUUUGCAUUGAUAUGCUGCCAUUUUCCUCAGAAACCAAACUGUCAUUCUUAAAACUUCUGGCAUAAAAACUCUUUAUUUUUCAAGUCUCCCAUUGAACUCCUCUCUUCUUUCUUCAUUUGAGGACCUAACUUAAGACUUUAUUAAGAAAAUUGAGACCAUUUGUUGGGGUCUCCCUUUUCUUUCCUUCUCAUCUUUCAAUUGCUUGACAUGCUAUGCUAUAAAUUUUGGUUUGUAAAGAUAUAGCCAUUUUCAUUGUUGAGGUCAAUCACUUCUCUACAUAUCUUCAUAACACUCCUUACUCUUGUCUCUCCUAUAGAUUUGCCCACUAUAUCUCAUUUUUCUAUUUCUGUAUUUCAUUUUCUCCUUAUUCAUUGGUUUCUUCCCUGCUACCUACAAAAAUACAUCUCCAUAUUUAGAAAGCAUCUCUAUAUUCUACCAUCCUUGCUUGCAAAUAUUCUAUGUCUCCUCCCUUUCUCAAUCAAACUUCUUGAAAAAGUUUAGAUAUUCUCACUUUUUCUCUUUUCAUCUUCUAAACCCUCUUUAGUCUGGAUUGUGAUAUCAUCACUCAAUUAAAACGAUUUCCUCUAAAGAUACCACUGAUAUAUUAAAUUGUCAAAUUGGGGAUAGCAUGUUCUCAGUUCUCAUCCUUCUUGAUUUCUCUGCCAUAUUUGACAGUGUUGUCCAGAUUUUCUUUCAGUAUAAUUUCUCCUCAUGAUAUUUGCCUUCUCCUGGUUCUCCUACCUGACAAUUCCUUCUCAUUUAUAUUGGUUGAAUUGUGUUCCAUGUCAUUCCCCCACUCCCUAUACCAAUACUCCUAAGAUUCUUUUACUUAGUGUCUGCAUCAGCUCUCCUGGGUACAGUUAUAGUCCCUCUACAGAUGACUUCCAGAUCUAUGUAUCUAACUCUAUUCUGUCUCUUAAGCUGAAGCCCUGCAACAUUAUCUACCUAAUAGAUCUCUCAAACUGGUUGUCUUGUUAAGCAUCUCAAACUCAACAUAUCCAAGCAGAACUCAUAUCUCUCUCCCUUCUCUGCUCAUUCUAUUCCUAUUCUAAACUUUGCAAUUACUGCCAAGGUGGUGUAUUAGUGGGGAAAUUCAGAAGGAACCAAAGUUGCCAGAUACAUGGGGAAUAAAUAUAAAGUAACACCACUUCCUUCCUCCCCUUCCCCCAAGUUGUGAUGUUAACAAAUGGAGUCAGUUCUGACUGGACAGAAAGGAAUGUUCCAAAGGUCUUAGUGCUUAAAACUGCAGUAACGCGUGUCUGUAUACUCCAUGAAGCCUGGCUUAUUUAGUAGGUAUGUUGACAACACAAUCAAGUUUAAUGUUGCGUAGCAUUUUCUUCAGAUCUCCCUGGGUUGGGGUUGGUUUUGUGAAUCCAAGAUUGUAUUGGUCAGACAGUGAAUUUACUGAGCUCAUAGUCUGUGCCAUGUACGAAGUUAAAUUCUGUAGGAAGUUACAGAAAUAGGGAGACAACUGUGUACGACGGAAAGGUACCAGAUUGAGGGGCCAAUCCUACUUCUCACAUGUAUUAUUACUCGGGUGGUCUUGAGUAAAUCAGUUCCUUAUCUGUAAUAAUAACAAUAACUGACUUUUAUUUAGUGCUUUAAAGUUUGCAAAGAUGGCACAAGGAAUAGAGUGCUGAGCCUGAAGUCAGUUGUUUUCCUGAAUUCAAAUCUGGCCUCAGACAUUUGCUAUCUUCGUGACCCUUGGCAAGUCACUUAACUCUGUUUACCUCAGUUUCCUCAUCUGUAAAAUAAGCUGGAGAAGAAAAUGACAAACCGCUUCAGUAUCUUUGCCAACAGAAUCUCAAAUGGGUCACAAGGAGUCAGACAAACCUGAAAAUGACUGAGUAAAAUUACAAAUAUUGUCUCAUUUUAUCCUUAGUCUAACCCUGGGAGGUAGGGGCCAUUAUUUUAUUUAUUUUAUAGAUGAAAAAACUUAGGCAGAUAAACUUUAAAUGAUUUGCUCAGGGUUAUACAGCUAGUAAAUAUCUGAGUCAGAAUUUGAAUUCAGGUCUUCCUGACUCUAAGUUCAGCAUUCUAUUCACCUAUAAAAUAAGAGAGAUGGAUUAGAUGUCUUUCAAGGUUUCUUCCAUGUCUUAUAUCUAUGAUCCUUUGAUUCUACUGCUUCAAGGACUUUUUAUUCUGCUGGGAGAGCUAAGAUAAAUAAAAUGCCCAAGUGAGAAGAACAGAAGUAUUUAUAUCACUGAUUAUGACUUUGGAGAUAUCUCUAUAGAAUCUCAGAAUUUCAGUGUUGGAUGGGACCUCACAGGUUAUCCAGAACUACUUGUACUUGACCAAGAAUUCCCAUUAAAAUAUUCCUGACAAGAGUUGGUCUAGCUUCUGACAACCAUCAAUUCGGGAAAGUUCCCACCUCUAGAGAAUGAGAAGGCUUUUACAUUUUUUAUUAUACUGGCCUCUCCAUAUCUUUAUGUCUUGUUCCUCAAUCUGCCUUCUGGGAUUAGAAAUGUCCUCAUGAUGCUUAUUAACUCAGCUUUGGACCCUUGAUACUUUCCUAAUUCCUACUCUCUCUCUCUCUCUCUCUCUCUCUCUCUCUCUCUCUCUCUCUCUCUCUCUCUCCUUUUCCCUUUCUCCCUCCAUCCUUUCAUCCCUCCUCUCCUCUCUACCCAUUUUAUUAUUUCUUUUUAAAAUGGUGCUAUAUUUUUAUUCUGUAAAAUAUUUGUCUUUAGGAAAUAGUUUUCCAUAGCACACAUUUUUUUUUACCUCAAAUAGAAAAAUGCUUGUUAACGUGAUAUAAACUCUCCCCUUUUCAAUUUGGGCCCACUUGGCAAGGGGGUAAUCAGUGCUGGAGGCCCUCCAUAACUGUACUCAUCAUAAUAUAAAUUAAGUCAAGAAUGUACAUCUAGAAACAAGCUUUUUGUUUUCCUUAUUUUGCUUUGGCAUCCACAAAGGUAUCUGUCUUUUUGUGGUUAUAAUAAUCACUUUUAGUAUUAGUUAGUAUUCAAUAAAUAACAUGACAAUAUUAUUAUAAUUAUAGUCAAUAUUUGUAUAGUGCCUUUAGGUUUGAAAGUUCUUUACAUUUUAUUUGAUUCUCAUAGCAACCCUAUAAAAUAGAUACCAUUAUUUUCUCCAUUUUAUGGAGGGGGAGAUUGAAAUUAAUAGGCUAAGUGAUACAGAAUUGGAACAUUUUUAAAUCAGGAUUUGAACUCAGGUGUUCCUCACUGCAAGUCCAGCACUUCUAUCCACUGUUGUCUAGAUGUGGCUCGCAUGGAUGUGUGAUUAGAUAACUCUGGUCUCCUUUGCCCACUCUUCUCCAUGGGAUGCUUUGACUGUUUACUAACAGGAGGGAAGCAGAAAGCUGGUGCCAUGAGACUGACCAUUCUACUUACUUGAGAGAGAGGAUACUAGACUACAGUUAUAUUUGUAAAAUCAAUAUGUGUGUGUAUAUAUAUAUGUACAUAUAUAUAAUGUAUACUUGAUAUAUAGAACUGAAAUAAUUAUAAACGUAUAUGUAUAUAUAUAUAUACAUACAUAUAGUAUAUCUAUGUAUAUUUCUAUUCCUGAUAGAUUUCCCUUUACUGGGAUAAGAAGUUAAAUGAACUUCAAAGACUAGACUCUCUUACCACCAAAUGCCAUUUACACAAAGAUCAUCACAUAUAGUGAAUAGCAGGUAAAUCCAUUUAUCCAACCCCAAAGCAAAAAUAAAUCAAAGAAGCUUUGUGGAUCAAGAUAUACCAGUGAUGAACACAGGCUCUUUCAUUAAAAGUGAAAUAUCACAACGUAAGAGUAUGUCUCUGAUCUCUUCCAAGAGGAAAUUUUCCUGAAGUUUCCAGUGUGAUAAGCUGCAGAGACAUGCUUGAGUUACUAACUCCUCAAUAUGUUGGAUUCUUCUUGAAACUACAUGUGUCUUCUCUUGAAGCUGGAAGUCAAAAGAAUUAGUAUCACUCCUCUUCCAUGUUCUCAGCAACUCUGUCCUUCAUGUAUCUGUGAAACACUGAGUUAUUAUCUCCUUAACAAUGAGGAGAACCCUACAUAAAUGAUUAUUGAACCCCAGGGUACACGUUCCCACACUUGGCACUAAGAUUAUGAUUAUGUGAGUAGAGAAAGGUUAGAUAUGAAAGAAGGUAUAGUGGUUAGAAAUAGCAAAAUGUAAUAAUUGAUGGGAUACGUGGGCAAAGGGAGAAUGAGAAGUUGAGAACAAUACUAGAGUUGUAAUUGGGAAAACUGAAAGAAUAGUGGUAUUUUUGACAGGAAUAGGAAAAUGUUAAUAUAUUCUUUGGAAACACUGAGUGUGAGGUCUCUGGCCAGCCAAAGUCAUGGUAAAUAAUAUUAAGUAACAAUAACUUAGUUAACAGUUUCAAGGUGUAGACCAAGGAGUAUCACAGUCAUGCUUUCUGUUUUCAAUUUCCUGUUUCACAGUUUUCUGGCAAACUAGAAUUUGCAUGAGUACUUUGGGAAGUUGUGACCAUAAGUUAGUUCAAUUUGUGAGAAAGGGUACUAUUGGAAAGUCCAGUAUGAAGUGUAGUAGUUUGGAUUCCCUUUUGUACAGUUUCACCCAGUAGCCUCUGACAACUUUCUGUGAUAUUCUGUGUUGAACCAGCUGAAUCUUUAACUUUUAUGUCUUGUCUAUGGGUCAUUGGUACCCAUCCUACCCACAUCCUGCAGGGUGCACUUACAGAGAAGGCAUGAUCCAUGUGUAUGUCUGACUCUUCAUGACCCCAUUUGGGAUUUUCUUGGCAAAGAUACUCGCUUUUUCCUUCUCUAGCUCAUUUUACAGAUGAGGAAAUUAAGACAAACUUAAGUGACUUGUCCAGAGUCUCAGUGCUAGUAAGUAUCUGAAACCAGAUUGGAAUUCAGGAAGAUGAAUCUUCCAGAUGCCAAGCCCAGCACACUAUCCACUGUGCCACCUAGCUGCCCCUAUUGUAAUAUAUGUUACUAUCAUUUUAAUAAAUUUACAAUAUGAAGGUCCACUUAAUGAAGAUGACAACUGAGUCUCUACUCCCUCCUGCAUUGGGGGUCUCUUUUCCCCUCCCUGUUCCCUGCAGAAGAAUACAAUGGUCUGAGAGGUGAGCCCAAGAAUCAUUCUAACACCAUCAAGCUGUGUUGAGAUGUGUUUGUUUUUCUCUACAGUCCUCUGGGUUAGAGGAGGUAAUUGAGUGUUAAAAGACCCCCUACCAGGAGCCAGUUUGCAUGAGGAAGUAAAGCAAGCCAGAGAUAGUUAAUUGCAUUAACACAUGACUUUAUGGAACCAGCUCUGUGUAAUUGUAUAACUUGAAUGUGAAAGCAAGAUAUGUUGCAGCUGAGAGCAGGUAUACCCCAGAGGUUGCUGCUGAUGAGGAAUAUGCAGUACCCCAUGUUGAGAAACUACUUUAAAUCACUGCUUAGAGAUGUGGUUAGAUGCCACUUCAAAUGGUUGGCUUUUUGGUUCUGAAAGUGAUGCAAAUUAUUUUAGGGAGUAGCUCACUUGUAGGACCAAGCCAUAAAAAUAGGAGGGAAGGUGCCACCAUUUCUAGGGAGAUGUUCAAUAUUUAGCCAGACAGUUGUUAGAAACACCUGGGCAGAAAGAGUUCUUUUUUUCCAUUCUGUUAACUGGGGUUACCAGUUCCCUUAUCUUGAAGGUUUUUUAGUAAAUGCCACUUUCUCUUGGGAAAACCUUGUGAUCAUCAUAAACUUUGACUUGUUUCUAGUCCGUUCCAAUGGAUAGUCAACCCCCUGAAAGCAAUAGACUGCCAAUAAGCAUUUGAACAUGGGGUGGGGGGGUGUUUACUUAGUAUUUUAAAGUCUGUAAAAUAUUUUACUUCAUGCUAUUUCCUUCCACCCUCACAAUAAUCCUGUGAGGUAGGUGCUGAUAUUUUAUAGAUGGGGAAACUAAGGCAGAGAGUACUUGUUUAAAUAAAAAACCAAAUUGAAAAAAUAAAAACAAGCAACUAGAUAGAGCACUGAACCUGGAGUGAGAGACUGAAGUUCAAAUGUAGCCUCAAACAUGUUCUAGAUAUAUGAUCUUGGAUAAGUCACCUCUAUUUUCCUCAGUUUGUUCAACUGUAAAAUGGGGAUAAUAGCACCUACAAAACAAAGUUGUUGUGAGGUUAAAAUGAGAUAAUAUUUUUAGAAAAACUUUUUAGUAAAUACUGCAAACUGUUUCCCUCCCUUCCUCUCAACCCACACUAAAGAAGGCCAACAUUUGAUACAGAUAUUGUAAGACUAAAAAUGAAUGAAUACUCCAACUAUUUAAAUUUAUAGGAUUUAAUAGCAACAAAGUGAGAAAGGAAGGAGGUUCCUUCAGCAGAGUGAGCAAAGAGCCACAGACCCAUAAGUCUGCCUACCUAGAACCAAAGGAAAAAAAAAAGCUCGGUAGCAUGGAUUUCAGCAAAUUUAUGAACAAACCCAUAACAGUGCAUGGGUCACAACACAAGGGGAUGCAAGACAAGGGGAGCCCAGGAAGAGUAAAGAAUGCUGGGAAAUGAAGACCGCAGGCCACAAUAUUUUUAGAACCCACGAUAUAUAUUUGAAACUAUACUAUAAAUAGUUCCACAUAUCAAUUCUUUCUAUGGAGGUAAAAAGCAUCUUCCUUCAUAGGUCCUUUGAAGCUGUUUUGAAUAUCCAUAUAACUCAGACUAGCUUAGUCAUUCACAUUUACUCUUCAAACAACAUUGCUAUUGCCGUAUACAACAUUCUCUUGGUUCUGGUUGUUUUACUCUUCAUUGCUUCAUGCAAGUUUUAGUUUUUUCACAUUUUUCUAAAAUCAACCCGCUUAUUAUUUCUUAUAGCACAGCAGUAUUCCAUCACAAUCAUAUAUUACAACUUAUUUCAUCAUUCCCCAAUUGAUAGCAUCCCUCAAUUUUCAAUUCUUUGCCACCACAAAGCGAUCUGCUAUAAAUAUUUUAGACCCUUUAGUUCCUUUUCCUUUUCCCCUGAUCACCUUGGGAUACAGACCUAAUAGUGGUAUUUCUGGGCCAAAGGUAUACACAGCUUUAUACCUCUUUGUUAAUAAUUUCAGAUUGUUCCCCAAAAUGGUUGGAUUAGUCCACAGUUCUACCACUGUAAUAUUAGUGUCCCCAUUCUCCCAUAUCUCCCACAACAUUUAUCAUUUUUCCUUUAUAUCAUUUUAGCCAGAAAUAGUAUUUGUAAAAAAAGGAUUUAACAUAGUGCCUGGUGUGUAGGAAGCAAUAUAUAAAUGCCUUUUCCCUUCCCCAUCCCAUUCUCCUUAAAUGACUUGUACAAGGUCACUAAGACUAAAUAUGUGGGAAGGAGAACUUGAACUCAGAUCUUCCUAACUUUAACUCUAGAACUCUACUCACUAUUCCACCUAUCCAUCUCUAGAGCAAAUUUAUUAUGAUCUGUAUAAUGGUCAAAAAAGAGACUCAAAUUUGAAGGCAGGUACCAAAGAAAUAGUACCAUUUCUCUCUUCUUUCCCAUGUAGAACAAAAUAAAUUCCCAUACUCGCAGAAACAAAAUUCUUAGCAAAAAGAUUCAGUGGUAUGAAUGGAGUUGUUGUUGAUCAUUUAUUUUGAUCAUUUCAGACUCACUGUAACCCUAUUGGGGUUUUCUUGGCAAAGAGACUAGAAUGGCUUGCCAUUUCCUUCUCUAGCUCGUUUUACAGAUGAGGAAACAGAGGUAAUUGGGGUUAAGUGACUUGUCCAGGGUCCCACAGCUACUAAAUGUGUAAGACUGGAUUUGAACUCAGGAAGAUGUGUCUUCUUGACCCCAGGCCCAGCACUCUAUCCACUCUUCCACCUAGUGUGUAUGUUUUCCUUCUCUUAGAGUUUCUUCCCUUCCUUAUGCUGGUUUCCAUAUGCCAUCUCUGUGUCAAACUCUUAGCCCUACUCUCCAUCUUCAUUCCCUUCAAUUUCUUAAUUUCCCUGGUUUCCUUCAAGAAUCAACUUAAAUCCCUCCUUCUGCUGGAUUCUCUUGUUUUAGUGUCUUCCUUCUAUAAUUAUCUUCCAUUUACUCUAGAUGUAUCCUAUAUGUACCUAGUUAUUUAUAGGUCAUCUUCCCCAUUAGAAUGUAAGCUUCUUGAGGGGAGGGACUGUGCCUCUUUUUGAGGGGGGAUUCCCUAGGGCUUAGCUCCUUGUCUGAUUGAUAGCAAAUGCUUAAUUGACUGACUGACUAAAACUCAAAUGAAGAUACCUCAGGGGUUUGAACACACAUCUGCCAAAUUGGCAGAGAAGAUGAAAAAACUCAGGCAGUGUUGAAGGGGCUGUUAGAAGAUUGAUAUAUCAACAUACUAUUGGUAGAGCUGUGAACUAGUCCAAUUCACAUUGGGCUGGAAAUCUGGGGCAAACAAUUUGGAAUUGCUCUAUUAAGGUCACUAAACUGUGUAGACCCUUUCACCUAGGGACCUUAUUAAGAGGCACAACCCAAGAGAAAGUCAAAGAUGGAAGCAAAGGUCCCAUAUACACCAACUAUUCAUAGCAGCCCCAUUUGUGAUAGUAAGAAACUAGAAACAAAAUAAGUGCUCACUAAUUGGGGGAUCACUAAAUAAAUUGUAUAUUAACUCAAUGAGGCCAACAUGAGGAAUUUCAAGAAAUAUGAGAUUGCUUGUGUAAAUAUAAAUUGAAUAUAAAUUGAAAUGAGCAGGUUAUACAUAAUGCCAAAAUAUGGAAGUGAACAACAGCGCUGCCAGUUGCCAGUUGGUACUUGUCCCUGUUCCAGUGCCCUAAGGGUGGCCUGAUAUGGAUCUGGCAACCUCCUCUUGCCAUGGUACACAGUCUCUCCCUUGCAAUAUAUGAUAUUGGAGGCCAUAUUUGAUGAAUAAAUAAUAGCUAAUAGAUCAGGUACUUAUCUUCCUUUGCCUACCCUCCUCCCUUUUAUACUUCCCUUUCUCCCUCUUCUUCCCUUCAGUUUCUCCUUCCCCCUUCUUCUUCAGCCUCCUUCUAAGUCCCUCAGGGUGAGCUUGGAUGUUUCAGAGGAAAUACUCUCUUCUCUCCUUUAUCUCAAUUAAGGGUUUGUUGGGGAAAACAGGAAAGAUGGAGGAUGAAGGCAAGAGGGGUGGGAUUUCCCUUUUCUCUACAAUGAGUGUUAAGUUGGAGGAUAUUGAGAGAAAUGACAAUUCAGUCACUAGCAUGAAACAGAGCCAGUCAGAGAGAGAGAGAUAUGGACUAUUGUCCUUUUUCUUCUGCCUUCAAAUUAGCCAGGUCACCUCCAUCUUGAUUAUCCCAAGUCCCAGAGAUAAACCCAGCUUCUUCCUUCAAAGUCAUCACCAUCAAACAAGAAGCCUUCAGCCAAGUCCCAGAAAAUCAGUCACCAUUGACUUUUGCCUUCAACUGUUUCCCAUUCACAUUCCAAAUGGAAUUUUCCUUUGAUUGACAGCUGAUCAAUCUCUAGCUUCUUGUUUUGCUGCAUGCCUUAUAAUUUCUCUUCUCUGCACCCUGGACUUUAAAAGAAUCAAUAGGCAAGGGCAACUAAGUGACUCAGUGGAUAGAAAACCAGGUCUGGAGAUCGGGGGUCCUGGGUUCAAAUAUGGCCUCUGACACUUCUUACCUGUGUGAUCCUGGGCAAGUCACUUAAUCCCAAUUGCUUAACCCUUAAUGCUCCUCUGCCUUGAACAAUACUUAGUGCUGAUUCUAAGACAGAAGGUAAGAGUUUAAAUUUAAAAAAAAGGCUAGGGAAAGGACUAGGCUUGUGAUAUCAUUAGUAUGGGGAACUCUUGAAUGAAGAAAUUCCCUUUACCCAUUCAGAUUGGCACUUGUUCUGAAAUUCAUUGACUUAGAGAGUUGCCUGGGGGUAUGGAGAAGUGAUGUGAUGAAUAAUAACUUGGAAAUUCUGGCAGCGAUAUGGUGCCAGAAAUCAUAUUUGUGGAGCAUUACAAGUUUAUCUAGACAGAACUUAAUUUCCCUUCCCCAGUAUAUUGCUAGGGAGGUAAUGUGAUAAUGGUUCAAAGACCACUGGACAGAAUGAAUAGGGAAUUGGAGGGUCUAUUCCCAGAUCAGCUACUAAAUAGCUAUGUGACCUUUCUAUCAUCGACAUAACUUCUUUUGCCUGCUUUUUAAAAACAGGUUAAGGUGAAAGAGGUGGCCAAAUGAGAAAGUCUAGUUGAUUUGCAAGGCCUUACUCUCUCUGUAAUUAGGAAAACACACACAGAACCAUUCUCCUAAGCUCAAGAGAUGUGGGGGAGGAAUUGAUUCUGGUCUAUAUUAUCUGAUUCCCUUAAGUUCUGAUUUUAUGUAGCAUGUCUAACACCAAACUUGGGUAAAGAAUUGCUGCCCUCGAAAAAUGUAAUUACUCAGUAAAAAAUUUUUCUUACUUGCAUAAUCUGUGACCUUUAUCUACUAGCUAUUUUUAUUUAUAGCCGACAUUCGGUUAAACUCCAAUUCAUUUCUCGUCUUCACAUGAAAUGAUGGCAUUUUGCUAUUAAAAUGCAUGGUCUGAGAAAAUUAGUUGAUGCAUAUUGAUCCAAAAGAUAAGAAUCAUCACCACAAAGCUUCUCUCUCUUUUCCCCAUUUCUCUCUCCUGCUCCCCCUUCCCCCCUCCGCUUCCUACCCUUGUUACUUUUAACAAAGGACACUGGGAAAGGGCAGACUCUUGGGGAUGCUGGAGCUGUAGAAAUGUUCUGCCCCAUUGUUUUACAGUAAAACAUAUUAGAACACAUGGGUGUCAUUUAUUUCUUGCCAUCUAUUAUCUGUGCAGAACUGUAUCUGAAUCAUUUCCUGUUAGGGAAUAAAAUCAAGGACCGCGCAGGCUUGUUUAGUCUGGGCAUUGGGGAGUUUGGUAUAGCUAAUGUGUUCCAGAAGGUUAACCACUGUGAAUUCCCUUGCCUGGGCUAUUUCCUUGGGUGACUGGGAUGCAGCCCUCAGCAUUUCCAUUCAGGUAACAGGUCAUUGCUCUUGUUCAGCCCAAUAUGAAAGAGAUCUGUCCAUCCUCUGGUGAGAGAUUUCAAGGGCAUGUGAACUUUCCAAACAGACCCCCAGGAGGGAAGAGGAAAAGGGGAACUGGUUUGUUUAUUUCAUACCAAUGACUUCUUUUGGAAGAAUAAAGAUGUUCUAUUCAUGUUUUAUGUGGGUUCAUUUUUGGAAACCUCAUUUUUGGGUCCCCAUAAAAUGCAUACAUGGGCGUUGAAUGGGUUCAUAACUCAUUCCUUUUGCUAUGACAAAAAUGGUCCAUUUUCCACAUGGCAUUUUAGCUGAACUGCUCUGUUUCCUAAUAAAAGAAACUAGCAGCUUGUCAGCGCUGUUUGUUAGUUGGUUCAGAUUUCCUAGGAGGGUCUGAACUUCAUUUUCUGAUUGUAAGGAGCCAACCUAGCCUAGAAGUUGAACAGAGCGUUAUGCCUCGGCCAUCUGAAAUUCUUCGUAAGGUCCCACUUAUUUCUGAAUGUCAGGAUUCUUACAUCACAUAGUUUCUUUUAACAGCUCUUCUGUUACCUUAAGUCACUUCUCAUGUCUUCUACACGCUGUAGUCCCGUUUCCUUAAGUAUUUUGACUUUCACAUUUCUGGCUGGUGCCUACCUUGGACAUUUCUUUUUAGAAAACAUUUUCUGAUCUGUAUCCAUCCCUUCGUCUUCCCCCAGCUCCCCAGUUUCUUUUUUUGAGGAGGUGAGGGGGGUAUAGCACAUAAAAAGAAGAUCCUUUAUAGAGUCUGAAGCUGUUUCAAGCUAGGAGCCCUUGUCCUUUGCAAGUAUUUGGAAGUCAGUGUAAUGGAUGGGGGGGGGGAGUAACUACUUAAUGAAAUUUCCCUUUUAUUUAAGCCGUGUCUUUUCGAAGCAGGUGAACUGAACUGCAGAAUGACCUAAUCCUUCAUUUUGGCAGUCUUCGUGGCUAGCUCUGAUCACUGCAACCUAAUUGAUCUUGUGACCAUCUGCAUCAAUUACGAGGAUGGGCUCACAUGAACAGAUUGGAAUGGCCAAGGACUGUUCAUUUGCUUUUACUUAGGGAGCAUUGAAAAUGUUUCUUGAGGCCAACUCUGCAUCAGUCUUAUGGACCCCUUAGAGGUACUUACAUUUCUUUAAUUGCCAAUUACAUGUAAUAACAAAUUUCCACCCAAGUUUUCCCAAGUUCUCUGAUCAAACUUAUUUCCUUUCCCCCUGCCAGUGAUGGCAGGAGAUCCUGUCGGGGUUAUACAUUUAUCAUCACACAAAACAUAUCUUCAUAUUGUUCAUCUGUGUAAUCUUUUAAAACCCAAACCCCCAAAUAUAAACCCAAAUAAACAAGUGAAAAAUCAUAUACUUUCAUCUGCAGUCUGACUCCAUCCUUUCUCUGGAGGUGUCAUAAAUCCCUCAGAAUUGUCCUGAAUCAUUGUUUUGCCAAUAAUAACCAAGUCUCACGAGUAUUUUUUCACCUAGUUAUCUGAAGCAACUGGUUUUUGUUUGUGUCUUGUAGGAGCAGAAUUUCUCUUUUCCCCUUUUUGACCUGCUUUGCUUUACAACUAUAUCAUCUAAUUUAACUUGAUAAAGAGAUAGAAAAAAAGGACAUGCAAAAUUUUUCUGGAGGAAAAUGAGUUUUAAAUCAUUCUUUGAUUUGGGGAAAUCAUUAAUUCACCCAGGAAGAAUUAGAUGAAGGAUGAGGCUCUGGCUGUCAGGAUGUUUCUAAAUUAUAUAAUGAAAAAUAGUACAACUGAACCCUAUUAUGGUAUCAAUUAUCUUCAUCUUAGGUACCGUUUUUAGGGGGAUGGAAGAGGAGAAAUGACCAUCUUUAUUUAGAUAAUUGACUCAAAGCUCUUAAUUAAUGAUCUAUGUUUGUAUGUUACCGUGAGGGAAGAAUUAAGGCACCAUGAAAUAGAAAUAGCUAGUUUUUGCUCAUGAAGAGUUGAAAUAAUUGUUUUUUAACAGUCCUAUUAUGGAAAUUAGGAUGGAGGUCUUUUGAGGAGGAGUAAGAAACAAAAAUUUACAGUGAUCUGUUUGAAAGGCUAUUCAUUAAGAAUUGUUUGGGAGGUGGAGGCAGUGUUGGCCAUAGAAAAAGCACGGAAUUUGAAGCAAGAAGACCUGCUUAUGAACCUGUCUUUGGUGAGUGACCUUGGGGAAAUUCUUUUUCUCUGAGUUUCAGGUCCUCCAUCUGUAAAAUAAGAAGACUGAACCGCAUUGGACUCUGAGGUCUCUUGUAAGCUCAGACCCUAUGAUUAUUUGAACAAUGGAAAGAUUUUACAGUUACAGCUCACAUAUUUCUUUCCUUGAAAACAGAAAUGAGGUACAAUUUUAAAGCAAAAUCAGAUAAUAUGUAGUUGCCUCUAGAUAUCAGUAUUGUAGGUUUACAGCUCAAUUUUUCACCAAUGCUGCAGUGACUGCAAUGCCUGGCCUGGAGUCAGGAAAAUAUCUUCCUGAGUUCAAAUGUAGCCUCAUACACUUUCUAACCCCGUGACCCUAGACAAGUCACUUAACCCUGGCUUUCCUGAUUCGUAAAAUGAGCUGGAGAAGGAAAUGACCAACCACUCCAGGAUCUUGGGCGACAGAGCCCCAAAAGGGAUCACAUAGACUUAGACAUGACUAAAAUGAGUCAACAACAAAACUUGCCAAUGCUCUUAAAGUAGAUGUAACAGUUCAGGUUUAGAGUAUCUACAAUGGAAAACUGACUGCCAUUUGAAGUGCUACCUGUCAUGUCUCAGUUCUUAUCAGGUGUUAGUACAAAAUUGUUAAACUAUCAUUCAUCUUCUGUCUGGACUGAGAGAUUAUGAAAACUCUCUUCAUGUGGCACUCGCCGUCUGGUUGUGAGAUCUUGCCAAAUUGAGGAGAAAGUUGAUUUGAUAGAACAAAUAAUUGGCUUGUUUUACUCUCGUAGUCCCUUACAGGGGGACAAAAACAAAGUUCUUGGUGCAUUUUUACAGCAAUAUGGCACUUAAUUCAAGUGCUCUUAUCCUGUAACCUCAUUUAUGUGGAACUCAGCUGAGAACCAAGAAUUGAGUAUAAAAAGGUCCUUGAAGAGCUGAAAUUGAUAUCACAAAAUCCUUUUCACAAAGUCACUUCAAAACUCAUAUACUUCGCUUGUAAAAUAGGGCUUCACUCAAAACCUAUUAUUCUUUCUUUACAUGCUAUUCAUAACCAAGCUCAAUUAUCUAGUUUCCUAGCCCACAAAAGGUUGAAAGAGGACAUUGCCAUUCUGAUUUCGUAUCAGGAUAGUUUAAGGGAUGGCCUCGAGAGGGAAUUAAAAAACCCAUCAAAAGAGACACAACAGGCCAAUUAAUUCAGUAAGCAUAUAUUAAGUACCUGCUGUGUUCCAAAUUUUGUGCCUAGCUCUAGAGAUACAAAGACAAAAAAGAGACAGUCUUAGUCCUUAAGGAACUUAUAUUGUGGGAUAUCCAAAAAAGACAGACUGAAAUAGAUAUAUUUUUGACCUAUCAAUAAAAGUUAGACUUUGUUCAAUAUGAGGAAUUAUGAAAAAUUUUAAAUGAUUUCUAUUAAAAUAAUUUUUAAAAGUUGGUGCAUCUGAAGGAGUUUGUUUUAAUUGAUUUUCAAAGUAUACUUAAUAUGGAGUGACUAGGUGGUGCAUUGGAUAGCGAUUCAGGUCUGGAGUCAGGGAGACUCAUCUUCAUGAGUUCAAAUCUGGUCUCAGUCAUUUACUAGCUGUAUGACUCUGGGCAACUUACCCUGUUUGCCUCAGUUCCUCAUCUGUAAAAUGAGCUGGAGAAGGAAAUGGUGAACUACUCCAGUCUCUUUGCCAAGAAAACCCCAAUGGUGACACAACUGAAGUGACUAAACAACAAUAAUGCUUAAUGUGGAAUGUCUCAUUAUGCUUUAUUUUUUAGAUGACUUCUGCUUAUUUCUUCCUAUCUUUCUAAAAUCUGUUUGGAUUCAAACUCCCUAGAAACCAUACCUCAGUCAGUUUCUAUUCUAUUUCCUAACACAGUGCCUGGCACGUAGUAGAUGCCAGAUUAAUGCUUGCUUAUGUAUUGGUUAAUUCAGAAACCAUAUGACCAAUCAGUGGUAGAGUUUCUUGCAAUUUGAAUUCAGUUCUUGCUCAAUCAUAAGUUUGUCUUCCAUCUCCCUCUUUUGUUUCUUGGGGAAUAUUCUUUGCUGAGUCUCUUGUGUUGCUGAUUUAGAGCUAAUUAACAUUUUGAGUUGGUGUGCUGUGUGGUUCUGGAAGCUGCUUAUUACAUUACAGGGAUGUCCCUGGCCACAUGAGAUGUUUAAUAAGAGGAAUAAUCAUAUUAGAGUGAAAUGCACAUAUAUCUAUUCACUGAGUUAAUAAGUGAAUGAAAAGAUGAUGACAUGAGACCUUGAGCAAAAUGACUAUGGAGAAUGUUUAGUAUAUCCUCAGAAUAAGAACUGAAACUCCUUUUCUGUAUACAUCAAAUCUUCUUGAAACAAUGUCUUCUUUCUAGAUGAUAAUAAUAUUUUGAUAUGGUAAUGAUGAGAACAUUUGUAUGUUCUGAGACAACAUGGACACCAUUCAGUAAAGUUUGCUUCCAGUCUACCGACUGAUUCCCAGAAGUCUCCAAAAUACUUUGGAAGGUAAAAGAAAAAGAGUUAUAUGUCAGAUAUUUUUGAGAAACUGCAGAUACCAUACAUAAACUGGUAAAUAAUAAAAAUUAGUUUAUGUUUUCUGCUUGUACAGAACAUUUUUUUAAUUUGGAAAUUUUUAUUUAAUUAAUUUAGAAUAUUUUCCCCUGGUUACAAGAUUCAUGUUCUUUCCCUUCUCUCCCCCUAUCCCCUCCCAUGGCUGACAUGCAAUUCCACUGGGUUUUACAGGUGUCAUUGAUCAAGACCUAUUUCCAUAUUAGUGAUAUUUGUGCUAGGGUGAUCGUUUAGAGUCUACAUCCCCAAUCAUAUCCCCAUCAACCCAUGUGAUCAAAUAGUUGUUUUUCUUCUGUUUCUUCUCCCACAUAGAACUCUUUUUUGAAGGGUGACAUUUUCCCCUCAGUAUACAAUAGAUGUAGGUCAAGUAUACUGUGAAACAGUGAUGCCAAAGCAAGAAAGAGAGGGAGAAAAACAGAGAGAGAGAGAUAAACACAGAAGAAGGGAGAAGUGAAUGCAGAUUUUGAGACAUGAAAAGGAGGAUUUCCAGGAAUCUUUUCAUUUCACAGAUGAGAAAAUUUGAGAGAAAUUAAAUGACAUUUCAAAUCAUCUAGUUACUGAGGAACCACCUCACACCUAUCAAAUUGGCUUAUGACAGAAAAGGGAAAUGAUAAAUAUUAGAGAUGAGAGAAAACUGGGACACGAAUGCACUGAUGGUGGAGUUGUAAACUGAUCCAACCAUUCUGAAGAGCAAUUUGGAACUAUUCCCAAAGAUCCAUCAAACUGUGCAUUUCCUUCCAUCUCAGCAAUACCAGUACUGGGUCUGUAUCCUAUAAAGUUUGAAGAAAAGAAAGGACCUACAUGUACAAAAACAUUUAUAUUUAAUAUUUUUGAAGCAGCAAAGAAUUAGACAUUGAGGGAAUGCUCAUCAACUGGGGACUGGCUGACCAAGUUGCAGUAUAAGUCUAUGAUGGAAUACUAUUGUGCUAUCAGAAAUGAUUAGCAGGAUGCUUUCAGAAAAACCAGGGAGGACCUGCAUGAACUGAUGCAAAGUGAAAUGAGCAGAACCAAGAAACCAUAGUACAGAGUAUCAGCAGUAUAACAUUCUGAUUAAUUGUGAAUGACUUUAUUUUCAGCAAUACAAUAAUCCAAAAAGACAGAUAAAAAUGCCUUGUACCUUCAGAAGAAGAACUGAUGGAAUCUGAAUGUAGAUGAAAGCAUUUUUUUUACCUUGUUUAUUAUGCUUGGUUUUGUUUUGUUUUUGUUUAUUUGGUCUGUGUUUUCUUUUGCAACAUGGCAAAUAUGGAAAUGUUUUUCAUGACUGCUCAUGAAUAAUCUAUAUUAAAUUGCUUACUCAAGGAUGGGAGAAGGAGAGAAUUUGGAAUUCAAAAAUUUAAAAAACAAAUGUUAAAAUUUUUUUACAAAUAAUUGAGAAAAAUAAAAAUAAACUAUAUAAGAAUGAAAAAGUAAUCCAGUUAGUGAAGUUGUAGAUGCUUUCACAUCUUUGUAUUUUUAAAUCUUGUAUUUUCCCCAUAGCACAUAGAAUUAGAGUUGGGAGGGACCCCAGGGGCCACUUAUUGUAACCUAAAUUUUUAUAGAUGAAGAAACUGAGGUGCAGGGAGGUUUAGUGAUUUGCCUAAAGUCCUAUAACAUCACCAUAACCCACUUGUCUGUUAUCCACUAUUACAAAAACUCUAGACCAA